rnacentral:rRNA from 1 species
GAUGAACGCUAGCGGAAGGUAUAAUACAUGCAAGUCGAACGGAUGUAGCAAUACAUUAGUGGCGCACGGGUGCGUAACGCGUAUGCAACCUACCUUCAUCAGGGGGAUAACUACCCGAAAGGGUGGCUAACACCGCAUAAUACUAUUGAGUGGCAUCACUUGAUAUUUAAAUCUGAGGAGGAUGAAGAUGGGCAUGCGUCUGAUUAGCUAGUUGGUGUGGUAACGGCGCACCAAGGCGACGAUCAGUAGGGGAACUGAGAGGUUGGUCCCCCACGCGGGCACUCAGAUCCGGGCCGGACUCCUACGGGAGGCAGCAGUAGGGAAUAUUGGUCAAUGGUGGGAACACUGAACCAGCCAUUCCGCGUGCAGGAAGAAGGGUCUCUGACUUGUAAACUGCUUUAGCAAGGGAAGAAAAAGCUCAUGCGUGAGAAAUUGACGGUACCUUGAGAAUAAGCACCGGCUAACUACGUGCCAGCCGCCGCGGUAAGAC